GACGAACGCUGGCGGCGUGCUUAACACAUGCCAGUCGAACGGAAAGGCCCUGCUUUUGUGGGGUGCUCGAGUGGCGAACGGGUGAGUAACACGUGAGUAACCUGCCCUUGACUUUGGGAUAACUUCAGGAAACUGGGGCUAAUACCGGAUAGGAGCUCCUGCUGCAUGGUGGGGGUUGGAAAGGUUCGGCGGUUGGGGAUGGACUCGCGGCUUAUCAGCUUGUUGGUGGGGUAGUGGCUUACCAAGGCUUUGACGGGUAGCCGGCCUGAGAGGGUGACCGGCCACAUUGGGACUGAGAUACGGCCCAGACUCCUACGGGAGGCAGCAGUGGGGAAUAUUGCACAAUGGGCGGAAGCCUGAUGCAGCAACGCCGCGUGAGGGAUGACGGCCUUCGGGUUGUAAACCGCUUUCGCCUGUGACGAAGCGUGAGUGACGGUAAUGGGUAAAGAAGCACCGGCUAACUACGUG
rnacentral:rRNA from 1 species